AUUGAACGCUGGCGGCAGGCUUAACACAUGCAAGUCGAGCGGGGUGAUGGUGCUUGCACUAUCACUUAGCGGCGGACGGGUGAGUAAUGCUUAGGAAUCUGCCUAUUAGUGGGGGACAACAUCUCGAAAGGGAUGCUAAUACCGCAUACGUCCUACGGGAGAAAGCAGGGGAUCACUUGUGACCUUGCGCUAAUAGAUGAGCCUAAAUCGGAUUAGCUAGUAGGUGGGGUAAAGGCCUACCAAGGCGACGAUCUGUAGCGGGUCUGAGAGGAUGAUCCGCCACACUGGGACUGAGACACGGCCCAGACUCCUACGGGAGGCAGCAGUGGGGAAUAUUGGACAAUGGGGGGAACCCUGAUCCAGCCAUGCCGCGUGUGUGAAGAAGGCCUUAUGGUUGUAAAGCACUUUAAGCGAGGAGGAGGCUCUUUUGGUUAAUACCCAAGAUGAGUGGACGUUACUCGCAGAAUAAGCACCGGCUAACUCUGUGCCAGCCGCCGCAGUAA
rnacentral:rRNA from 1 species